rnacentral:tRNA from 1 species
UUCUUAUUAGCUUAAUGGUAAAAGCAGGAUACUUCUGAUAUCCAGAUUUGAGUUCGAAUCUUAGAUAAGAAA